rnacentral:rRNA from 2 species
UAUCAAUAAGCGGAGGAAAGGAAAUUACCAAGGAUUCCCUAGUAACUGCGAGUGAAGCGGGAAAAGCUCAAAUUUAAAAUCUGGUAGUCUCUGGCUGCCCGAGUUGUAAUCUGGAGAAGUGUUUUCUGUGCUGGGCCGUGUACAAGUCUCUUGGAAUAGAGCGUCAUAGAGGGUGAGAAUCCCGUCUUUGACACGGACAUCCAGUGCUCUGUGAUGCACUCUCAAAGAGUCGAGUUGUUUGGGAAUGCAGCUCAAAAUGGGUGGUAAAUUCCAUCUAAAGCUAAAUAUUGGCAAGAGACCGAUAGCGAACAAGUACCGUGAGGGAAAGAUGAAAAGAACUUUGGAAAGAGAGUUAAACAGUACGUGAAAUUGUUGAAAGGGAAACGCUUGAAGUCAGUCGCGUCUAGCAAGGAUCAGCCCUUCUCGGAGGGUGUAUUUCUUGCUUGACGGGUCAACAUCAAUUUUGACUACUGGAAAAAGGCCAGGGGAAGGUGGCACCUUCGGGUGUGUUAUAGCCUUUGGUCAUAUACAGUAGUUGGGAUUGAGG